UGGCUCCAUCUUAGAGAACAUUUUUAGCAAUAUUGACUUCAUUUUGAUUUUACUUUCACAAAGGAGACUUUUUGGAAUUCUAAGGAGGGUCGUUAGAAUUUCUGGGAGGCCAUAAGGAAAUUCUGGAGAGAUGUGUAAUAGAGGAAUUUUCCGAGAGAAAAGGAGGGAUGGAUCACUUCCUGGGAAGGAUCAGAGGUCAAUUUCCAGGGGAAGAUUUUGUAAGGGACUCCAGGCAGAGUCUGGGGGGAUUUAUUAUUAUUAUUAUUUUUCACACCAAAAACAUUUUGUAUUGGGCUAUUGCCAAUUAACAAUGUGAUCGUUUCAGGUGAAUAGCGAAGGGACUCAACCAUACAUAUAAAUGUAUCCAUUCUGUCCCCAAACCCCAGAGUGUGGGGAGAUUAAUAGGGAAACUUAAAUCUGAGGGAUAGAAGGCUUGAGAGAACUCUCGGAAUAAUCAGAGAGCUGGGGACCUAGCUCUCAGCUCUGAACCCUCACUUUCCCUUUUCCACUCUUUUCUCCAGAUAUACUGUGCAAAAAACAAAACCUUCUCAAGGCAGACACUGUAAAUGGCAGGCAGCCAGGGUGGGUGAGAAGACCAUCUCUGUAGGACUCCAUGUGAUUCUUCCAGCCCCCUAUCUGUUUUUUCUUUUUCUUUUUCUUUUUUUGGCCUUGCUGCUGUGUGGCAUACAGGAUCUUAGUUCUCUGACCAGGGAUGGAAUCCGUACACCCUGCAGUGGAUGAUUGAAGUCUUAAUCAGUGGAUCCCCAGUGAAGUCUCCCUCCCAUUGUCUCCAUAAUAGGAGUCUGAAGGUCCAGAGUCCAGACUCUCUUCUGCAUUCAACUGGCACUCUGCCACAUGACAUGUUGGGACCUUAAUUCCUCGACCAGGGAUUGAACCUUGACCUCUGUUUUGGAAGCAUGGAUCUUAACCACUGGACCUCCAGGGAAGUCCUGAAUCUCUUGAUUUUGGCCACAUUCCUCCCUUCUGAAUGUAGGCAAUUUAGGGGAGGGAUGCUGGGGGCAAGGCUUACGGAAUUGUGUUAAAUAUAUUAUUGUUUGUCUUACCCAGUGGUUCUGAAAAACUUUUGGUUCAUAGAACCUUUUGAGAAUUAGAAGGAAGCUGAGAAUUCUCCUCCCAGGGAAAAUACACAAACCCACAAGAUUUUCUGAAAGAUUUUAGGCAUUUAAAUAUCUCAUAGUUCCCUAGCAUAGUACAGUAAGAAUAAUGAGAGCUAACAGUUUAUUCAGCACUACAAAUGCCUGGGAAUUCCCUGGUGGUGCAGUGGUUAGGUUUGCACAGUCCGAGGGCCCGGCUUCUAUACCCGUUGGGGAGCUUGCCACCGAAACAAAAAACCCUGCCUUUCGCCAUUCUAAGCACCUCAUAUGGGUUAAUUCAUUGAAUCCUCAGAAAAAACCCCAUGCCCUUUAUCUACUAUUAUCCCCUUUUAUAAUGUAGGUGCAGCAGACAUCACAAGACAAACAUAUGUCAAACCUGUGGGGAUUUGAUAUUGGCAAGGAAAGACCGACAAAUCAGGAGUCAUAGGAUGCCUUCUGAGAAGCUGACAUUCAAGGAGAGCGAGCUUUGCCAAUGUCUGGGACGGAAACAGACUCCAAGGCAGGCUGGUGCCUGGCGGGCUGGCGUCUUGCCUGAAGCAGAGGAGGAACAGAGCCUCAUCAACUUAGAUGAAUUUCCUACUUGUCUGGACUAUGAUAGACUUGUGUCCAUUGAGAUGAGGAACCAUGAAGCCGGGAGACUCAUGUUGACCUGUGUGCUUUUGGAGGAGUGAAUAAAAAGUAGAAAUUC